GGGUAUAGUGGUGAUCUGUAUGUAGGAUGUCACUUCGGUAAUCAGCAAGGUUGAUUUUACAGAUCUAGCUCACUAGGUAUGCCCUUCCUCUCUCAAAGUUCCAUCUGCAUCUCUCCUGAAUCUGUAAUUUCAAUCAACGAAGAUGACCUUCCCCAGUAGAAGGACCAGUCUUCACGAAAGUGUAUAUAAUUAGCUGCAGUCCCUUCUGACAACAUCCAAACAAGAUACAGAAAUACGUGUGAAAUGUUUUCUUAUUUU
rnacentral:snRNA from 1 species